rnacentral:rRNA from 1 species
GACGAACGCUGGCGGCGUGCUUAGCACAUGCAAGUCGAACGGAAAGGCCUCUUUCGGGGGGUACUCGAGUGGCGAACGGGUGAGUAACACGUGAGUAACCUGCCCUUGACUUUGGGAUAACUUCAGGAAACUGGGGCUAAUACCGGAUAGGAGCUCCUGCUGCAUGGUGGGGGUUGGAAAGUUUCGGCGGUUGGGGAUGGACUCGCGGCUUAUCAGCUUGUUGGUGGGGUAGUGGCUUACCAAGGCUUUGACGGGUAGCCGGCCUGAGAGGGUGACCGGCCACAUUGGGACUGAGAUACGGCCCAGACUCCUACGGGAGGCAGCAGUGGGGAAUAUUGCACAAUGGGUGGAAGCCUGAUGCAGCAACGCCGUGUGCGGGAGGACGGCCUUCGGGUUGUAAACCGCUUUCGCUCAUGACGAAGCUUUGUGUGACGGUAGUGGGUAAAGAAGCACCGGCUAACUACGUG